UUUGAAGACAUCAGAAAUUGAGAGACUAAAAAAAUAAAUAUAAAAAUAUAUUUUCAACCAAUUUUUUCUAAUAAUUCUUUAUACAAAAGUGAAAUGUCCACGAGAUUUACCCAUUCGCAAUCGGCAAAUAAAUUCCAUGACUACAAGCUAUAUGCGAUUAAUUUUCAAACGAAUUCUUUAAACUCAAUAUGUGAAGAAUUCAAAAAGCGCGUGCAGUCGGGCCUACGCAGGCGUAUCUUCAUAAUUGAUCUCGAAGAAGAAGCGAAGCAGCUGGCACUAAAAGUACGCAAUACGAAACGAUUUGACAAUUACACCGUCGCUAUGGAGGCCAUCGAAGAGUGUUUAGCCGAAUACCGCCGUACGUCUCAUAUAAUUGCCGAAGAGAAGAAAUUCAGUUUAAUCGAUUAUUGGAUGGAUAACCUAAAUGUGCCCACCGGUGCAACAUUACUCAAAGAGCAGCGUAAGUCGAACAAGAGGGCAUCCAGAAAGACACCUGUUUUACCGAAAUCACCACCGAAGCAAACAAAAGCGUCAAAGUUGUCACGAGUGGAGAUGGAAAAGAAAAAGUCCGUGUUAUCAUUUCCAACAUGUCCACAUUUGACGCCGAAGCAACACAACACAGUUGGACGGCCUGAGCCGUUGUCCAAAAGGAAGUACAUACAAGACGAACCGGAAUAUUCGAAAAUUUUCAUAGUCCUCAUUGGCGAUAUGGACAAUGACUUCUAUGUGAAACUCUUGAGCGCUCGCGAACCACUCCAAGCUAUCAUACAUUUUCUGCCCGAGGAGUGCGGCUACGACAUGUUGCUACCACAUCCGGAAGCCAAAGAACAACUUGCGAGCAUUAUCGAGCAGAUACAGGUGGAUAUCUUUGAAAUGCGCGCAUUGGCAUUAACAAAACCAGUGGGUUAUAUGCAACAUUAUUUACCCGUUAUAUCACGUUGCCUCGCUGAGAAGUACUCAAACCAGAUCUAUGAACAACUCUGUCAUUAUUUGUUCGACAUCGAAGUGCUGUUGCAGCAAUAUGAACAGUACUAUAGAAAGCCAUUCCAAACCAUAGAUGUCGAAAUGCCAUUGAAAGUGAAUGUGGAGGCGCUACAAGAGACCGCCGAAUCGUUAGAUUUGCAGGGAACCUAUUUAACCGCGCCACUGCCUGCUAUAGCCAGCGACGUGGCAACGGUUGCCAUCUACUUUGACGGGCUGCUCAAUCAAAUUGCGGAGCGCGUGCGCAAGCUGACGCCGCAACAGGCACAAAUCAGCACCUUGCCCUACAAACAGGCGAGCGCCAUAGACUUGAAUCAAGAACUACGCGAUGUUUAUGCGACAGCUUUCGAUAGUAUUUUGAAGGUGCGACACUUUGAACGUUUAUGCGUUGCCGCCAAUAACUUGCUGCUGCACGAACUGCUGCUCUACACGAAUAUCGAUUCAUUCGAAACGGUGCACUAUACGAGUUUGGAAUAUAAUUUGAUGCGUUCGUACAUAGAUAACGGUUGUUUGAAAAACAUCUUCCAGGUACAAGAAUACCAUGAAUUAUCGGACAGAGACUUCUUUCAGUUACCAUAUUAUGCGAAAAUGUACUUCGGCGAGAAUAUAGUGAAGCAACAUUUACAAAGAUGGGUCAACGAGUAUAACACCUGCGAAGUGGAUGAAAUUAUGCCCGGCUGCAAAUUGUAUCACUUCAAACGCGCCUAUAAUGAAGUAAAUGAAGAGCAACAGGUUGUGGUUUUGCCAUCGCCUCUGUGCUUUCGCGAUUUUACGCUCUUUCAAAUGGAAGAGUUCAUUGAUGCCUUAGUCACGCCCGAAAUGAUACAGGCACAGUACGAGCAAAGCUAUACGUCCAUGCAAAGUUUAAUGAAAAAAGGUAAAAAGGACAAGGAUAAUCAAGGCAUAGAUAUGUCGAUAUUUAUAAGACCGACAUCAUUGAAAUGGAAAAAGUUCAAAGCUUACAUGGAAACACACUUGAGUCAAACUGUUGGCAGCCAAACACCACUACUGCCACAGUUGAGACCGACAGAGUUGUCCGUGCAAAGGAAGUCUUCACAUAUGGAAGGUGCGCCUGGAUUACCUUACAAUCAUUCUUUACUGCAAGGGUACAAUCUCGAAGAUGUACGUCAGGAGAUACAGAUAAAAAGCUCCAAAUACUAUUUCGAAGAGGGCCGCGUAGAAUUGUACGAGGAACGUUGGUGCUUCACCGAUAUGAAUAAAAACCUAUUGUUAAAUGCAAAUGACAUUUUGUUAAAUAUAUUUCGACCACGUUUUUGGAACACCUCAGUCUCAUCAUGUCUACGUUUCACUAAUAAAAAUAAUGUCUCAUUGCGUAUACUAAACACUGUGGACGAAUGCGCUAAAAUUGUUAUAAACUAUCCCAAUGGUUUGACCAUCUAUCACAAUGAGCAUCAAGUCGAACAGGUAUGGCAUAUACUAGACUCGUUCAAUAGAGAAAAGAGUCGUUUGUGUAUUACCGAAGGUGCUGUUGUUGUGCACUACCAAAACGACGAACUCAUAACGGUGAUGCGUUAUAAUGGUGAAGUUUAUCGCUUAUAUCAGUAUGAGUUUCCGGAGGGUGAGGAAGAAGCCUUCCAAGAAAUGACUGAAGAAUUAGAUUCAUCGCUAAAAAUCGAACAAAUUGAUAGCACUGCAACUAAAGGCACAGCGCGACUUACAAAACGCGAUACGAAAAGAGAUAAAGAUUUGGAUGAUGAGAAAGUAAAGGGUGAAGAUAAAAGCAAAAAGAAAGUUAAGCUAAAAGAAAAAGAAAAAGGAGAAAAUCCGAAAGAUAAAGUUUCAGUCAAAGCCUCAGCACGUUCUAAGGCCUCAUCGCAUAAAUCAGUGGCUUUCGGAGAUCCUAAACGCAAAACGCGUAAGGAAUUACUUAUUGAAUCAAUCGACAACGAAUUGAGAUUUCUCAACGAACUCACACAAAAGUAUUCGCUCAAGUACUUGCAUCUAAUUGUAACUACCUCAAAUGGAAAUAUCGUGAAUCUCACACAUCGCGGUAAGGUCUACAAAGGUCGCUCUAAGCCUACUAUAGAAUGGCACGACUAUUUUGCGAACGAAAGCUAUGCAGAACGCGGUGAUGGUGUACGCAUGAUUUGGACUGCGGACUCUCUGAAGUGUUAUCACAAAGAUGGCACCGUUUUAAUAACAAAAAUAGAGGAGAAGAUUGAAUCAUUCGGUUUCGACGCUGACACUGCUGUCACAUUGAGUUCUUCGCAUAUGGAUGAGGAUUAUGGCGAAUACUCCGACAGUUUGUCAACUAGCCGUAAUCUAAAAGCUGGCCACCGUUCGCAGAGCACUUCACCUACGCACAAGCAAACCCAUAAGACUUCACCAUCCAAUAAAGCUGGUAAAAGGCUUAAACGUGAAGUGUCCGAUGUCAAAUCGCCAUCCCCACACUCACGUGUUUUAUCUACAAUGUCUCACUAUUUUAUCUCUGGCGAAGGUGAAGAGACACGUAAAUAUGAUGAUCCUUCAUAUGUGACUAGCCGCUAUAGUAGCUUUCAUAUGUUACAUAAAAAGUAUGCCGAAGUCCAAAUCGACUUGUACGAAGUGCCGGUAAAUAAUAUUGUCAUCACUCUAAUGGCCAUUGAUGGUAUAUCGGCAUAUAUCUACAAAGUAUUACCCACAAUUGAAAAUUUAAAUUUGGACCAAUACAAGGACCAAGUACCAAAUUUUCGAGCCACAGGGGGUGAAAAUGUAGCGGGAACUACAACCCACAAGAAUACUGCAACUACUAAGAGCAGUUCAAUUUAUACAGCUGGCAGUGAACCGCGUAUGUCUGAUUCGGGCAAAUAUACGAUUGAGGAGGAAAUUAUCGUGCAGACGGUAGUAAAAGUGAGUUUCGGUAAUGCUUUGAAUGUAUCAACGACAGAAGAAGCGUGUGAACUCGGCUUGGAGUUGGAGCGUUAUGAUGAGGAAAAUAACAACGUGCGCGACACCUUGGAAAUGCGUUUCGAGUUUAAGCAAAAUAUUACCGAUCUCUUUCAAUAUUUUGUUGAUCGUAUAUCGAAUUUCAAAAAUUAUCAAAAGCCUAAAUCAUGUGAAUUGUAUUUUUUGGAGCACCAAAAUGAAGAGUGUCACACAACAGGAUACCACUUCCUUUGUAAGCUACCGCCACCAUUGGAAUAUAAUAUCUCCGCUGGCAACACUUUUACGGAACUGCGACAACUUAAGAACGUCAAGGAACUAAUGACAAAUGAUUAUCCUUGGUUCGAGAGAGAUAUGAAGAAGUUUCCGCGUUUCCCUUCGAAACGAGAACGUACGCCACCGAUAAACGACACUUUUCCAUUCGUUUUGCUUGCCAACAUAUUCAGAAAUCACCUAAAUAAGCCAUUUAUCACCAAGCCUAUCUAGGGUCCCAUCAUCAUCAACGCGACCUAAAGAAGAUGAUCGGGAGGUCAUUUAACAACUAUUCACAUCGUUUUUGAACAGACCCUAGGAUCAUAAGACAGGCUUCGGAAUCCCAACAUAUGAUAUACGACUUACCUUAGACCUUCCGACGUCAACUGACACCAGACACCUGCUUUAUAGACUCAACUGUAUCUCUUAGAAGCACGUAUGUCAAGAUUCCAAAAGCUUUAUGCAACACGGCAGAGAUACAUAAAUUCGUGGAGCCCAUUGAAGAUUACACAUUCAAGAGGACACAACAACACCUACGCGAUGCUAUCGAAUAUUAUUUACGACCACGUAUACGUAUCGCUUUGGCUCAACUUUGGAGUGAAAAUAAUUGGAAAAUCAAGCUAGAAGAUCAUAAACGUCGUAUAUUUCGCGAACAACAACGCACUGUACUGUAUACGGCAAUGUUGCGUCAUCAGGUCUACCCCAAAUAUUGGCAAUUCCGGGAGGACUUUUACGGUCAUGUCAAGGAUAUUGAUUUCUUCAAAUUUGUAAUACUGCGCUGCUAUAAACCCGAAGUAACUGAAGCAGGUAAGACUGAAGAAACUACAGAAAAAGUGCGUUUUGCAACGGAGCCGAGAGCAAGUACCGAAAAACCACCACCUAUGGGGCCCUCUUCUCCUCCAACACAAAAAUUCACCGAAGGUGGUUUACAGUUGAGACAUUCAAUGGCAAAAUAUCGUGGCCGAACUCCACCCAAAUGUAUAACAACAUUAACGCAUAUCACUGAUCAAUUAGAUGAAUAAAAAAAAUUUUGUUUAUACACAUACAAUUAUAGACUAUGUGUAUACGAGUAUAUAUGUAUACAUGUAUGUACAUAUGGAAUUAAAUCGUAAAACUCGGAAUUACCUCAAUCGUAGAUUUGAGUCUUUCAAUAACGCAA